CAAACUUGCUGGAGGUUGUUUAUAUAUUAGCCGCAUGUAUAUGGGUUAUUUCAGGCAUGGUUCGAAGCUAUUUUCAGUUGGGUUAAAAACACCGGGAAUGGGGAAAGAUGUUGAAAUAUAAAAAGACUUAAUUUUUAAAUCAGUAUCACAAUGCCUGCGCGCUCAAGCAGGUCGAGUAUUUUAAUUUAAAAAUUCGUCUCUGAAAUUUUACGAAAAUAAGUUACAUAAAUUUUUUAAAAUGCGCGUCUCAAAAAGUUUCAUUUUGUACUUAAUUGUCCUACUUGUGGGUUCAAUGAUUGUACUAAGCAGUGCGAAGCAAAAAAAUCAGGCACUGCGAAAUAAUUUGCAUUCUAAAAUCCCUAACAAAGAUAACAACGUCACGAUUGAACCAUUGACGAAAACUCCUAAAUCGCACUGCUCAAAGGGAUACCGACGGACUUGGAUUGGAAAAUGUGU